GCAGGUAUUCUCCCGGGAGGGUGAGAACCCUCGCAGGGUUCGACAAAACCUGACGGGUUUUGCAGGGCCUCCGGCCCCCCGAAGGGCGAGCUGCAGCGCAGCGAGUGCAUCCCUCCCUCACCGCCA
rnacentral:sRNA from 1 species